rnacentral:snoRNA from 1 species
UGUCCCAAUGAUGAUUUAUAAUCAUAAAAGUAGUGGACUGAAUUUCCUUGAAGAGAAAUUUAUUCAGAGGGAUA